UUCCGGGUUCUGCUGGGUCCCUUGCGGUCUUGCUCUCCAGCUUCUGUCCGAGUGGCAUCUCCCAUCUUUUCUCUCCGGCCUCACUGCUUCACACGGCUCCUCCCCGCUCCUUCCAAGGCGGGCCGAAGGUGGAUCCAGCAUUUUUCACGGCCGAGUAGUAUUCCGCCUGCCGGCGCUGCUCAGGCCUGCGGGGCCUGAACCCGGGCCCUGGAGCCAGGCGGGGGUCUGCGGGCCCGCUGCUGUCUCCCCGCCCGUCUCUGCGGCGCCUCCCGCGCUCGUCCUUCCUCGUUUGCCCACCGACUGGUCCGGUCGUGCCGCCGGACAGACGGAGGCCCGGCUUCUCGGCUGGCUCCGCGGCGGGGGCGCCAUCGAGCGGCCCGCUAUCGGCUGCUUUGGUCUGGGCGGCGGCGCGGGGGCGCCUGGGAGGAAGCCCGCCCGCUGCGAUGGACUAGUCAGGCCUGAGCAAGAUGGCGUCCUCGGAGCGGGCUGAGCCGCCGGGCCAGCCAAGCUCAACCCCAGGAAGUGAAAGCCCGGUGCCCCGAGAGCCUCUAAUCGCCACAGCAGUGAAGUUUCUACAGAAUUCUCGGGUCCGCCAGAGCCCGCUGGCCGCCAGGAGAGCCUUCCUUAAGAAGAAAGGACUGACCGACCAAGAGAUAGACUUGGCCUUCCAGCACUCGGGCACGGCCGCCGAUGAGCCGUCAGCUUUGGGCCCAGCCGGCACCCAGGUGGCCCCCGUCCAGCCCCCACACCUCACCCCCCAGCCCCACAGCCAGGGCGGCUCCCGGUGGAGGGAUUACGGCGCCUUGGCUGUCAUCAUGGCCGGGAUCGCCUUUGGCUUUCACCAGCUCUACAGGAAAUACCUGCUCCCCCUCAUCUUGGGCGGCCGAGAGGACAGGAAGCAACUGGCAAGGAUGGAGGCGAGCCUCUCGGAGCUGAGUGGCAGUGUGGCACAGACAGCUCUUCUUUCCCCAGUGACACAGCUGCAGCUGACUUUGGCCUCCGUCCAGGAGCUGCUGGUCCAGCAGCAGCAGAAAGUGCAGGAGCUGGUCCACGAGCUGGCCACAGCCAAGGCCACUUCGUCUACCAACUGGAUUCUGGAAUCUCAGAACAUCAGUGAACUCAAGUCAGAAAUCAACUCACUGAAGGGACUUCUCUUAAAUCGGAGGCAGUUCCCGCCAUCCCCGUCGGCCCCGAAGGUCCCGUCCUGGCAGAUCCCGGUCAAGUCUCCGUCGCCCUCCGGCCCGGCGGCCGCGUCCCACCACAGCAGCAGCGACAUCUCGCCCGUCAGCGUCAGCGCCGAGUCUGCCUCGCCGUCCCCCGUGAAGGAGGGUCACGGCCCCGAGGGCCCCGCGGCCGCCUACCACCUGCUGGGCCCGCAGGAGGAGGGCGAGGGGGUGGUGGAUGUCAAGGGCCAGGUGAGGAUGGAGGUGCAGGGUGAGGAGGACAAGCGGGAGGACGAGGAGGACGAGGAGGACGAGGAGGUGGGCCGUGCAGAGGAGGAGGACUGCCUGGGGGUGCAGAGGGAGGACCGCCGUGGCGGGGACGGGCAGAUCAACGAGCAGGUGGAGAAGCUGCGGCGGCCCGAAGGGGCCAGCGACGAGAAGGACGGGGACUAGGCCGCCCCGCCCGGCCGGCCCGAGAGGGAGGCGGGCACCCCGGCCCCGGUGUGCGUGGGGCGGCGCUCACCGCCGAGCCCUCUUGCCCGAACAUCAGCCUGGCCUCUGCCCACCGCCUGGCCCAGCCCAUAAGUCAGUCUCCUUGCUCUCGCCAGACGGGGGCACCGAGCAGACCGGACUCGGCCCCACGCCCCCGCCUGCUGACUUCGUGCCAUGCAUGACAAGAGCUAGUCCGGCGGCCUGCCGCCUGCCCUGACAGAAGAGCUGUGUGUCUGUCAUGUCCCCCCCGUCCCCCUCCCCGGCUCCCCCAGGGAGCAGGCGAUCACCUUGUCUGUUUCCAGAGUCGGCAGCCCCCACUCCCUGCCCGGCUGGGCCUCCUGGGGCCCCACGGCCACCUCUUGCGCCGCCUGUCCCCAGGCCAGCGACUCAGGCUCCUCUCCGUUGUCCUUGCUUGCUGCGGGGGCCUCCCUCGUGGGAGCCAGCGCCCGGGCCUUGCCGCCUGCCCCAGAAGCAGCGUGUGUGUGUCAUCAGGUCUGAGUCUCAGAGCCGAGAUGACUGUACAGAGCUUAAUAAAGACGUCGCCACAGCUCACAGCUGCCUGGGCUCCCUGUCUGCUGCCAGACCCUCGUCCGGGAGGCCCUGCCGGGGCGACCCCAGCCCCAGGGAGACCUGUGGGCUGCUCGCCCCGGACAGAGGGGCCCGGCCUUGGCCCUGAGCGGCUUCGAGGGCGACAUCCUGGCGGGGGGAGAGGGCUCCGCUCCUGAAUAGAGACCUGGCUUGAGUGGGGUGAAAACAUGUGGAAUGGGGCAGAAGUGAGCACAGCGGCGCCGACGGCCUUUCUGGAGGAAGGGCACUGAAGGCAGCGGCCAGGAAGGACCCUGCUGCCCGCGGCUGUGACCCGAGGGCGUGGCCCCGGGCAGCCCCCCAGUGUGGGAAGCCCCGCAGGCGGGGGCCGCAGCUCCUCCAUCUGCCUGGAGCCUGUGGGGCGGGAGCCCCGGCUGCUGAACCUGACCAGGUUUCCUUCUCUGGGUCUGGAGCUGCCUGUUUGAGCUCUAGUCCUUACGCAGGAAAUAAAAGCCCUUCUGCCUUC